UACGUAGGCAGCGAGCGUUGUUCGGAGUUACUGGGCGUAAAGGGUGUGUAGGCGGUCGUUUAAGUUUGGUGUGGAAUCUCCCGGCUCAACUGGGAGGGUGCGCCGAAUACUGAGCGGCUAGAGUGCGGGAGAGGAAAGUGGAAUUCCUGGUGUAGCGGUGAAAUGCGUAGAUAUCAGGAGGAACACCGGUGGUGUAGACGGCUUUCUGGACCGUAACUGACGCUGAGACACGAAAGCGUGGGUAGCAAACAGG
rnacentral:rRNA from 1 species